ensembl:lncRNA
GAAAAACCAGAGGUGGAACAGUUGGGUUGUGCUGUGCUGUUUGUUUAUAUCAAAAAAACGGGUUAAAUACCAUUAGUUCUAAUCUGUGCUGUAAUGAAGCACGAAAAAAAUACCCGUAACUUUCGGCCAUCAAGCCUUGCCCAGCUGGAUUGGUUUACCCUUAAAGUGUUUCCUGCCAGCGCGCGAACGUGUAGUUUUGGCGCAGUGUAAGGGAUGCAAAAGAAAGGUGCUUGCCGCCAUGUGUGCAAAAGAAGAGCGCGAGAAGUGGACGUGUUGGCGCCAUGUGUGAACAAGCCCAAUAUCAUAUUCAUGGACAGAAUGAAAGGUCAUGGACAGGGUGGAGGUGCAGGGCUAUAAGUGAAUAGAAAGGAGUGAAGGACACCAUCUACAAUGUUGUGGAGCUUAAAAAAGACAAAACAGACAUUGUGUGACUGAUGAAAAAUGAAUCAGCUGGUCUGUAUUUUGUCAUCUCAGCAUGACUGCUUUUCCAGAAUAUUAUACAUUAUCAAAAUCUUAUAAUUAUGGAUUUGCAAAAAAAGAAUACAAUUAUGGAAUUCAGGGUCUACUAUUUUGAAACAACAGUCUCGGAAAAGCGUUGAUGUCUGAAUCUGACACAGAGAAGAAUAAUUGUGUCUGUGCUGACACAUUGUACCCUGCUAUAAUCGAUUGCAGAAAGGACAUCUUCCAUUCUGUGUGGAAGACUGCUUGCCGUUGAUUCUGUGACCAGGGCCGAGGGCUCAUAUUCAAAAAGUGUCUCAGAGUAAGAGUACUGAUCUAGGAUCAGGUCCCCCCGUCCAUAUAAUCUUGUUCAUUUUUAUCUAAAACCUAAAACGGAUGCUAUAUCAGCACUUGAGACUCUUUGUGAGUACAGGCCCUGUCUCUUGACUUAUUAUGUAGCCCUGAAUGGGCUGACAAGGUCCUGAAUGGCAUAGUGGCCCAAACAGGGUGUGAUGCAGACACCCUAAUCCUCUGUAGGCACACACAUUGUCUACAGUGGCGUGGCGUUAGUAGAUCAACUGAGGUCUGCAGCAUUUGCAGAAAAGUUUCUUUUUUUUCUUCCCAUACCCCUCCCCCCGCCCCCUAAACAGGAACACUUCGGUCCAUUACCUAAUUCAUAGAGCUAGGCAGACAAGAAUCUGGUCACAGACGAGUUUCACUUAGUAAUGCUGGAGAGAGUUGGAGGGUGAUGAUUCAGGGGACUUAGUAUUGAUGGAUCUCUUCCUCUUUUCCACGUCUAAGCCUUUAUGAUGGAUGGUAUAUGGUGCACACCUUUUGACACCAACAAAUAAUAUUAUGUUGACUCAACUCAUAUGUAUUUCAUCGGCAAUCCACACUUCCCACAAAUUAAUCAGUUUCUCAGACUUGCCGGGAUUACGCUAUGGUUUUUAACAAAUACAUUAGCAUGAUCUCAAGUAUAAAGUUACAUGACUUCCAUCUAAACGUGACUGAUUCACAUAUGAUCACAUCAUUUUGUGAUAAGUAAUAAUCAGCUAUUUAGAUGGCAUACAUUGAGCUCUAUGCUCCAAUUCUCCCUGAAACAUGUAACGUACAAACUAUCUGUCACGUUCUGACAUAGUUCUUUUGUGUUUCCUGUCUUUGUGUUCUCUGCACCAGAUAGGACUGUUUCGGGUUUUGCCACGUUUGUUGUUUUGUAAUUGUGUUCAUGUUUAGUUUCUCUUAUUAAAAACCAUGAACUCUAACCACGCUGCAUUUUGGUCCUCCUCUCCUUCGACAGAAGAAACCCGUUACACUAUCCCAGAUAAUAAUUUUCCAAACAUGUCAUUAUGUUACUGCUGACAAUAUUUACUCAGUAAAUUUGUGGUUGACAGUGUUGGGUUCAGACAGGAAUUCCCUAGUGCUUUUUACACACUUCCGACUUUCUGCUCUGCUACAUAUGUUUUCACUACAUGUCCUACCGCCCUGUGUUUCCUAUCCAGCCGUUGGCUAAUCUUGAUUAUACACAGAAUGUUCACAAAUAAGUUGAGAUGGUUUAGAAAGUGAUGCUUUAAUCAUUGAUCAAUUAUAUUUCAACGAUAACUCCAGAAAUGUUUUUAUUAAUCGUAAACAAUAUUGAUUGUAAAGUUAUCCAUAUUAGGUUGUAGAUUGAUUCCUCACGAAAGCCAGAAAAAAAUACCAUGAUUUGGGGGAUUUUCACCAAAUUGUAUCUAUAUAGAAUAGUCCUUUUGAGGAAGGUGUCUCACCCUGAUCUGUUUCACCUGUCUUUGUGCUAGUCUCCACCCCCUCCAGAUGUCGCCCAUCUUCCCCAUUAUCCCCAGUGUAUUUAUACCUGUGUUCUCUGUUUGUUUUGUUUGUCAAGCCUACCAGCGGUUUCCCCUUGCACCUGUAUUUUCUAGUUGCUGUUUUCUAGUUUUGACCAUUCUGCCUGCCCUGAGCCUGCCUGCCGUUCUGUAUCUUAUGGACUCUGAUCUGGAUUACUGACCUCUGCCUGCCCUUGACCUAUCGUUUUGCCUGCCCCCUGUUCUAGUAAUAAACUUAUGUUACUUCGACACUGUCUGCAUCUGGGUCUUCUCCUGAAAUGUGAUAGAAGAAUUGCUAUUUUUUACAUUUGUAUCUAAAAGCAUAAUUGAUACAUUUUCAUUAAUCAUUUAUUACAUUUUGGCCUUAACCAGGCCUCCUUCGAGAUUCCAUAAUGUGCUACAAAGCACCCCUUGUGUGCACUGCCAGUAAUACCGUAUACCCCGGAGUGGUACAGGAAUAAUAUGGAAAUCAGGUCACC